UUUCUUUUUAAAAAAAAAACUCUUUAUUCAUUAAAACAUCAUUGGCAUAGCACUUCUCAUGUUCAAUCUCAUCAAAUAAUAAAAUUUCCAUUUUCUGUACUCAAUUCUUAAGAAUCAGAGAGAUUAACUAAAAGGAAGAGAAUUAAAAACUUGGAAACUUACGGCAGGUAAGUUAUUACACAAGAGAAAGAAGUUUUCUUACUAACAGCAAGAUUAAUGGCACAAUUCAACCAAAACUCAUAUACAUUUUACUGCUUAAUUUACAUAUUAUUUUGGUGGAAAAAAUAGUAUUCUUUAUUCUUUCAGUUUCUUUAUGCAAAAAUACACUUCUACAGGGACAUCACUUAGAUGUUAUGCAAACCUUAUAGAGCCAUGAACAGGCCAACUCUAGAGUCCAAGAUGCUUGAAAGACUUCAAGAAAUUAUUUAAAAACAAACUUAACAAAAUAUGUGCUGGAUCACGCCCAUGUCCAUCCAAAAUGUAUCCUGUCUCUGACUGUGGCAGUAGAGAAAGGUCUACAGAUCUUUAUGAUAUGAAAUAAUUUAAAAGGGAUUGGAUAACAUCCUGCCACCCUAC
rnacentral:lncRNA from 1 species